AUUGAACGCUGGCGGCGUGCUUAACACAUGCAAGUCGAUCGGUAACAGGUGUAGCAAUACAUGCUGACGAGAGGCGGACGGGUGAGGAAUAUUUGGGAAUCUGCCCAUCAGCGGGGGACAACCCGGGGAAACUCGGGCUAAUACCGCAUACGCUCUACGGAGGAAAGCCGGGGACCGCAAGGCCUGGCACUGAUGGAUGAGCCCAAAUCGGAUUAGAUAGUUGGCGGGGGAACGGCCUACCAAGGCGACGAUCCGUAGCUGGUCAGAGAGGACGAUCCGCCACACCGGAACUGGGACACGGUCCGGACUCCUACGGGAGGCAGCAGUGGGGAAUAUUGGACAAUGGGGGAAACCCUGAUCCAGCGACGCCGCGUGGGUGAAGAAGGCCUGCGGGUUGUAAAGCCCUUUCGGUAGGGAAGAAAUCUCUUGUCUUAACACGGCAAGGGUUUGACUUAACCUACAUAAGAAGCACCGGCUAACUCUGUGCCAGCCGCCGCCGUAACAC
rnacentral:rRNA from 1 species